ensembl:lncRNA
GUGUAUUUUUCCCUUUGUGAAUUUUAUUUAGAAAAAAACUUAGCUAAACAAAGACACAACUCCUUGUUUGGCCCACCUUUAUAAAGCUUUAGAAUGUGGACUUGAGCCCACCGAUAAAACAGUGGCCUGAGACACCAUCCAAGUCUAUAUGCAUCUGGGCCAGAGAAGACGGUGUGUAGCCUGACAGGAGCUCUUGACACAGCCUCCACCCAGCGGGUCACGGGGAGCGUAUGCUGUCACCUCUGUGAAGCCAUUACUGCCCACGGCGUGCCAGGCACUUCUGUUCCACACACCAAGCUGAGUGCUCUCUUGAAGUCAGUGCUACUUGCCAACCCACAUCUGCCCAUUGUCCACGCCACUCCAACGAUGUGACUGGAGUUGUAUACAGUGGAACGGCUUCAUAAGGACAAGUCACAAAAAACUGCCAUUGAACAGGUUGUUUGAAGAUCCCCUGAGAUACAGAUGUGAAAUGCUUAAAGCUGCUGCCGGUUAUAAAACAGGAGGCAUCAUGACAGACAGAUGGAGUUCCUGGUGUCACCCAGUAGCACAGCAAGGCUGGCUUACCUUCCUCCAGCCCAUGUUUCCUCACCAGAUUCCCAGAUCAAUGAAGAAACAUGGAGGGAAAAUGUUGGUAUAUGGAGAUCAAAACAUCAGAUUGCUUCUGAUCCAUCUGAUAUGGGCAUUAUCUGCAGCUGCCUGAACAAUGCAGAGAGGAAGACAGAGAGCUAAAGUGUCUAAGAAACAUUCAAGCUACUUCUACAGAAGAAAUGAAACUGCCUCUCCCCUCAAAGUGGCUACUACCUGCUCAAGUGUUCUCAAACCCUUUAAGGGCAUUGGGGAGCAACUCACUCAUGAAUGCAAAUGUAACACUGAGCACAGAGAAGAGAUGCUGAGGGGGUGUGAAGCUUAAAAGGAGUGCUCAGAACGCAAUGAAACCCUUCAGAGAAAGUUUCCUAGAUAUAGC